rnacentral:rRNA from 1 species
AUUGAACGCUGGCGGCAGGCCUAACACAUGCAAGUCGAGCGGAUGAAGGGAGCUUGCUCCUGGAUUCAGCGGCGGACGGGUGAGUAAUGCCUAGGAAUCUGCCUGGUAGUGGGGGAUAACGUCCGGAAACGGGCGCUAAUACCGCAUACGUCCUGAGGGAGAAAGUGGGGGAUCUUCGGACCUCACGCUAUCAGAUGAGCCUAGGUCGGAUUAGCUAGUUGGUGGGGUAAAGGCCUACCAAGGCGACGAUCCGUAACUGGUCUGAGAGGAUGAUCAGUCACACUGGAACUGAGACACGGUCCAGACUCCUACGGGAGGCAGCAGUGGGGAAUAUUGGACAAUGGGCGACAGCCUGAUCCAGACAUGCCGCGUGUGUGAAGAAGGUCUUCGGAUUGUAAAGCACUUUAAGUUGGGAGGAAGGGCAGUAAGUUAAUACCUUGCUGUUUUGACGUUACCAACAGAAUAAGCACCGGCUAACUUCGUG